rnacentral:rRNA from 1 species
UGGGGAAUAUUGGGCAAUGGGGCGAAAGCCUGACCCAGCGACGCCGCGGGAGGGAAGAAGGUCUUCGGAUUGUAAACCUUUGUAGACAGGGACGAAGAAAUGACGGUACCUGUAAAGUAAGCCACGGCUAACUACGUGCCAGCAGCCGCGGUAAUACGUAGGUGGCAAGCGUUAUCCGGAUUUACUGGGUGUAAAGGGAGCGUAGACGGCAAGGCAAGUCUGAUGUGAAAGGCUGGGGCUCAACCCCGGGACUGCAUUGGAAACUGUCAAUCUAGAGUACCGGAGGGGUAAGUGGAAUUCCUAGUGUAGCGGUGAAAUGCGUAGAUAUUAGGAGGAACACCAGUGGCGAAGGCGGCUUACUGGACGGUAACUGACGUUGAGGCUCGAAAGCGUGGGGAGCAAACAGGAUUAGAUACCCUGGUAGU